rnacentral:rRNA from 1 species
UCGGUCCCUAUCUGCCGUGGGUGUCGGAAAAUUGAGAGGAGCUGCCCCUAGUACGAGAGGACCGGGGUGGACGUAUCUCUGGUGGACCUGUUGUUGCGCCAGCAGCAUAGCAGGGUAGCUAUAUACGGAAGGGAUAACCGCUGAAUGCAUCUAAGCGGGAAGCCCCCCUCAAAACCAGUUUUCCCUUGAGAGUCGUGGAAGACCACCACGUUGAUAGGCCAGAUGUGGAAGUGCGGUGACGCAUGAAGCUGACUGGUACUAAUUACUCGGA